rnacentral:tRNA from 1 species
GGCGCCGUGGCUUAGUUGGUAAAGCGCCUGUCUAGUAAACAGGAGAUCGAUGGUUCGAAUCCCUCCGGUGCCU